UACAGAGGUCUCAAGCGUUGUUCGGAUUCAUUGGGCGUAAAGGGUGCGUAGGCGGCGCGGUAAGUCGGGUGUGAAAUUUCGAGGCUUAACUUCGAAACUGCAUUCGAUACUGCCGUGCUUGAGGACUGGAGAGGAGACUGGAAUUUACGGUGUAGCGGUGAAAUGCGUAGAUAUCGAGAGGAACACCUGCGGCGAAGGCGGGUUGCUGGGCUGACACUGACGCUGAUGCGCGAAAGCCAGGGGAGCGAACGGG
rnacentral:rRNA from 1 species